rnacentral:lncRNA from 1 species
UUGCUUUUCAUGAAUAAAAAUAACUAUACCAAAUUUAUUUUGUAAAGUUUAAGUACAAUUUGGGGAUAUAACUGAUGUUUAUAGUAUGAGAAACAACUCAUGAAUCACAAAUUCCUCGCUUGUUCUAUUUUUGGCAUAACAUACACAAUUCAUUUACAAUGAGGUAUGAAUUAUCGAAUUUUCAUGCUAUAUCCAUCCAUAUCACAUCUCAUCAUAUCAUACAUGUAUAUACAAAAAAUAUAUAUAUAAACACAUAUAUUUAGAGAGAGAGAGAGAGAGAGAGAGAGAGAGAGAGAGAGAGAGAGAGAGAGCUA